AGCAGCCGCGGUAAUUCCAGCUCCAAUAGCGUAUAUUAAAGUUGUUGCAGUUAAAAAGCUCGUAGUUGAAUUUCGGGAUUGACACAUCGGUCGUGCCUUAAGGGGUAUGAACUGGUGUAGCCAAUUUCUCACCUUCUGGAGAACCGCGAUGUCCUUAAUUGGGUGCCGCGAGGAACCAGGACCUUUACUUUGAAAAAAUUAGAGUGUUUAAAGCAGGCAUUUUGCUUGAAUACAUUAGCAUGGAAUAAUAAAAUAGGACGGCAUGAUUCCAUUUUGUUGUUUUCUAGGAUCACCGUAAUGAUUAAUAGGGUUAGUUGGGGGCAUUAGUAUUCAAUUGUCAGAGGUGAAAUUCUUGGAUUUAUUGAAGACUAACUACUGCGAAAGCAUUUGCCAAGGAUGUUUUCAUUAAUCAAGAACGAAAGUUAGGGGAUCGAAGACGAUCAGAUACCGUCGUAGUCUUAACCAUAAACUAUGCCGACUAGGAAUCAGACGAUGUUAAUUUUUUAAUGACUCG
rnacentral:rRNA from 1 species